rnacentral:rRNA from 1 species
UGCCAUCAGCCGCGGUAAUACUGCGUGUCCGAUCUUGAUCCGGAAUCAUUGGGUUUAAAGGGUCCGCAGGCGGUCAAUUAAGUCAGAGGUGAAAUCCCAUCGCUCAACGAUGGAACUGCCUUUGAUACUGAUUGACUUGAGUUAUAUGGAAGUAGAUAGAAUAAGUAGUGUAGCGGUGAAAUGCAUAGAUAUUACUUAGAAUACCGAUUGCGAAGGCAGUCUACUACGUAUAUACUGACGCUGAGGGACGAAAGCGUGGGGAGCGAACAGGAUUAGAUA